GGGCGCGUAGCUCAGCGGUCAGAGCACUCGGCUUACAACCGAGCGGUCGCUGGUUCGAUCCCAGCCGCGCCCA
rnacentral:tRNA from 2 species